AUUGAACGCUGGCGGCAGGCUUAACACAUGCAAGUCGAGCGGAGAGAGGUAGCUUGCUACUGAUCUUAGCGGCGGACGGGUGAGUAAUGCUUAGGAAUCUGCCUAUUAGUGGGGGACAACAUUUCGAAAGGAAUGCUAAUACCGCAUACGUCCUACGGGAGAAAGCAGGGGAUCUUCGGACCUUGCGCUAAUAGAUGAGCCUAAGUCGGAUUAGCUAGUUGGUGGGGUAAAGGCCUACCAAGGCGACGAUCUGUAGCGGGUCUGAGAGGAUGAUCCGCCACACUGGGACUGAGACACGGCCCAGACUCCUACGGGAGGCAGCAGUGGGGAAUAUUGGACAAUGGGCGGAAGCCUGAUCCAGCCAUGCCGCGUGUGUGAAGAAGGCCUUAUGGUUGUAAAGCACUUUAAGCGAGGAGGAGGCUACUUUAGUUAAUACCUAGAGAUAGUGGACGUUACUCGCAGAAUAAGCACCGGCUAACUCUGUGCCAGCCGCCGCGGUAAAAC
rnacentral:rRNA from 1 species